rnacentral:ncRNA from 1 species
UAUCUUCGGGGCAGGGUGAAAUUCCCUACCGGCUGUGUUUGCUUUAUAGCAUAAGUCAGCGAGCUUAGGCAUGAUAUGGUGAGAUUCCAUAACCGACAGUAUAGUCUGGAUGAAAGAAGAA